rnacentral:misc_RNA from 1 species
AAGACUAUAGACCUGCGGAGUACCUGCGGAAGGAUCAUUACCGAGUGCGGGUCCCUCGUGGCCCAACCUCCCAUCCGUGUUGACCGACACCUGUUGCUUCGGCGGGCCCGCCAGGGCUCCCGCCCCGGCCGCCGGGGGGCAUCGCCCCCGGGCCCGCGCCCGCCGAAGACCCCUCGAACGCUGCCUUGAAGGUUGCCGUCUGAGUAUCAAAUCAAUCGUUAAAACUUUCAACAACGGAUC